UUACGGCCACAUCACUUUGAAACAACGGUUUACCUACGGUCACCGAAGUUAAGCAAAGUCGAACCCAGACAGUACUUAGAUGGGUGACCACUUGGAAAUAUCAGGUGAUGUAAG